ensembl:lncRNA
UGCUAUGCUUUUUGCACUUACUGUGGUAUGUCAAACACUGCACAUCUUAAAAUCUUGUGCAAGUCAUUGAGUACCAAUGGCACAGGAGUGUCUGUAUUUUGUGCAACACAUACAUAAAGUCUUCAGGAGCUCAGGCUCUCCCCAAACACAUGAUCCAUGUUCUACCUGUGAGCACACUGAGAUUUGACUCAUUGCUUCUAUGCUGAAUUUUCUUCGAAGAUCAAAAUAUUGGAAAAUGAACAUUGGUUGGCUUUUAGGUCCUGGUGACCAAAAUUGGAGUGGUUUGGUUGUGGUCAGACUGGAUGAUCUUUAAGGACUUUUCCAACCUGAGCAAUUCUAUGCAGAAAAUCAACUCUGCUCUUGCCUGACCUUCUCACCUGCUUCCCGUUUUAUCCUCUCAUGGAUGCAACUUUCCCUGUAGGAAAAAGAGAUGGAAAUACACAAGAGGUUGGAUAUGUAAAUAACUUUUCCUGACUUUACCUGACACAUUUCAAAUUUGGCUCUUUGCAAUUCAAUACAGUGUCACACUUGGUGCGUGCCAGCUUUGCAUCUGAAGUUAAAGAGCCAGGGAACUGCACCAGAUCAGACCUCCGAGGAAGAAGCUUUUGCAGGAAUCCAUGACCACACAGAAGGAAAACGGAGACAGCAACCUUGUCUCCCAAAGGUGUUGUGGGAUUUCUCACCUGAAAAUCCUGCUUGCACGGCUGCUUCAUUCCGCUGGUUUCCCAGAUCAGUGCUGUACCUUCCUGAUUUGCUGUAGAAGGAUUGCCAUCUCAGCUCGUCUGCACUGCUUAAAGGUGGGAAAAGCACUUUGGGACUGACUGCUGAGAAUCUGCAUUGGAGUGUUUACUUUGCUGGAAGUCCAGCAGCUCUG